rnacentral:rRNA from 1 species
GACGAACCGUGCGAACGUUAUUCGGAAUCACUGGGCUUAAAGGGCGCGUAGGCGGGCGACCGAGUCAGGGGUGAAAGCCUCCGGCCUAACCGGAGAAGUGCCUUUGAUACUGGCCGCCUCGAGUGGUGUAGGGGCAUGUGGAACUUCCGGUGGAGCGGUGAAAUGCGUAGAUAUCGGAAGGAACGCCGGUGGCGAAAGCGACGUGCUGGACACCUCCUGACGCUGAGGCGCGAAAGCCAGGGGAGCAAACGG